GAUGAAGAACGCAGCGAAAUGCGAUAAGUAAUGUGAAUUGCAGGAUUCAGUGAAUCAUCGAAUCUUUGAACGCACAUUGCGCCCGCCAGUAUUCUGGCGGGCAUGCCUGUCUGAGCGUCAUUUCAACCCUCAUGCCCCUAGGGCGUGGUGUUGGGGAUCGGCCAAAGCCCGCGAGGGACGGCCGGCCCCUAAAUCUAGUGGCGGACCCGUCGUGGCCUCCUCUGCGAAGUAGUGAUAUUCCGCAUCGGAGAGCGAUGAGCCCCUGCCGUUAAACCCCCAACUUUCCAAGGUUGACCUCAGAUCAGGUAGGAAUACCCGCUGAACUUAAGCAUAUCAAUAAGCGGAGGA
rnacentral:misc_RNA from 1 species